AACGAACGCUGGCGGCAGGCCUAACACAUGCAAGUCGAACGGGCGUAGCAAUACGUCAGUGGCAGACGGGUGAGUAACGCGUGGGAACGUGCCCCAAGGUACGGAACAACUUCGGGAAACUGGAGCUAAUACCGUAUGUGCCCGAAAGGACAAAGAUUUAUCGCCUUGGGAUCGGCCCGCGUCGGAUUAGAUGGUUGGUAGGGUAACGGCCAACCAAGGCUACGAUCCGUAGCUGGUCUGAGAGGAUGGCCAGCCACACUGGGACGGAGACACGGCCCAGACUCCUACGGGAGGCAGCAGUGGGGAAUAUUGGACAAUGGGCGAAAGCCUGAUCCAGCCAUGCCGCGUGAGUGAUGAAGGCCUUAGGGUUGUAAAGCUCUUUCGCCAGGGACGAUAAUGACGGUACCUGGAUAAGAAGCCCCGGCUAACUUCGUGCCAGCCGCCGCAGUAAAAC
rnacentral:rRNA from 1 species